rnacentral:sRNA from 1 species
AGAAGACCUCCUUCCUCACGGAGCUCAUCGACCGCUAUAAGCGCUGGAAGUCAGAGGGGCAUGGCGAGGAGUCCAGCUCUGAGGACUCUGACAUGUAGGGACCUGGUUUAUCCUCAUGGUGACCCUAGGUGCUGUGACGUGGGUGGUCCCCACUCCGGAAGCAGGGGCGUGGGCCCUGGGGGUGAGGGUGACCGGAUACAGUGUUGGGCAGGGACCCCCUCAAGGCUGCAGGACGGGGCCUGCUGAGGCAUCAGCUGGACCCGUGGCCUGGCAGAGCCCCGUCUGGUACCUCGGGUUUCCCUUGGCCGUGCGGUGUGCCCUGAGGCCCUCAUGCCUCCUGGCCCUCUCCCCACUGGCCCUGGCAACUCCUCAUCCUCUUCAGUGAUGGCGAGGCGGAGGACGGGGAGCAGGGCCCCAUCUGGACGUUCCCCCCUACCAUCCGGCCGAGUCCACACAGCAAGCUUCACAAGGGGACGGCUCUGCACAGUUCACAGAAGCCUGCGGAGCCCGUCAAGAGGCAGCCGAGGUCCCAGUGCCUGUCCACGCUGGUCCGGCCCGUCUUCGGAGAGCUCAAAGAGAAGCACAAGCAGAGCGGCGGGAGCGUGGGUGCGCUGGAGGAGCUGGAGAACGCCUUCAGCCUGGCCGAGGAGUCCUGCCCCGGCAUCUCAGACAAGCUGAUGGUGCACCUGGUGGAGCGAGUGCAGAGGUUUUCACACAACAGAAACCACCUGACAUCCACCCGCUGAAGCGCGCUGCUGUUCAGAUAGGGGACGGAAGGUCGUUUGUUUUUGUUCUGAGCUCCGUAAGAACUGUGCUGACUUGGAAGGUGCCCUGUGCUGUGUCGUGCCUGCAGGGACACGUCGGAUCCCG